rnacentral:rRNA from 1 species
GGUUAAGCGACUAAGCGUACACGGUGGAUGCCCUGGCAGUCAGAGGCGAUGAAGGACGUGCUAAUCUGCGAUAAGCGUCGGUAAGGUGAUAUGAACCGUUAUAACCGGCGAUUUCCGAAUGGGGAAACCCAGUGUGAUUCGUCACACUAUCAUUACGUGAAUACAUAGCGUAAUGAAGCGAACCGGGGGA